UACGGCCGCAAGGUUAAAACUCAAAUGAAUUGACGGGGGCCCGCACAAGCGGUGGAGCAUGUGGUUUAAUUCGAUGCAACGCGAAGAACCUUACCUGGUCUUGACAUCCACAGAACUUUCCAGAGAUGGAUUGGUGCCUUCGGGAACUGUGAGACAGGUGCUGCAUGGCUGUCGUCAGCUCGUGUUGUGAAAUGUUGGGUUAAGUCCCGCAACGAGCGCAACCCUUAUCCUUUGUUGCCAGCGGUCCGGCCGGGAACUCAAAGGAGACUGCCAGUGAUAAACUGGAGGAAGGUGGGGAUGACGUCAAGUCAUCAUGGCCCUUACGACCAGGGCUACACACGUGCUACAAUGGCGCAUACAAAGAGAAGCGACCUCGCGAGAGUAAGCGGACCUCAUAAAGUGCGUCGUAGUCCGGAUUGGAGUCUGCAACUCGACUCCAUGAAGUCGGAAUCGCUAGUAAUCGUGGAUCAGAAUGCCACGGUGAAUACGUUCCCGGGCCUUGUACACACCGCCCGUCACACCAUGGGAGUGGGUUGCAAAAGAAGUAGGUAGCUUAACCUUCGGGAGGGCGCUUACCACUUUGUGAUUCAUGACUGGGGUGAAGUCGUAACAAGGUAACCGUAGGGGAACCUGCGGUUGGAUCACCUCCUUA
rnacentral:rRNA from 1 species